UACGUAGGGUGCGAGCGUUGUCCGGAAUUAUUGGGCGUAAAGGGCUCGUAGGCGGUUUGUCGCGUCGGGAGUGAAAACGCCGUGCUUAACACGGCGCUUGCUUUCGAUACGGGCAGACUAGAGGUAUGCAGGGGAGAACGGAAUUCCUGGUGUAGCGGUGAAAUGCGCAGAUAUCAGGAGGAACACCGGUGGCGAAGGCGGUUCUCUGGGCCGAUACUGACGCUGAGGAGCGAAAGCGUGGGGAGCGAACAGG
rnacentral:rRNA from 1 species